rnacentral:rRNA from 1 species
AUUACCUCAGUAACGGCGAGUGAAGCGGUAACAGCUCAAAUUUGAAAUCUGGCCCUUUUAGGGUCCGAGUUGUAAUUUGUAGAAGAUGCUUUGGGCGUGGCUCCGGUCUAAGUUCCUUGGAACAGGACGUCAUAGAGGGUGAGAAUCCCGUAUGUGACUGGUAGCUUUCGCCCGUGUAAAGCUCUUUCGACGAGUCGAGUUGUUUGGGAAUGCAGCUCAAAAUGGGUGGUAAAUUUCAUCUAAAGCUAAAUAUUGGCCAGAGACCGAUAGCGCACAAGUAGAGUGAUCGAAAGAUGAAAAGCACUUUGGAAAGAGAGUUAAACAGUACGUGAAAUUGUUGAAAGGGAAGCGCUUGCAACCAGACUCGCAGGCCGUCGAUCAUCCUGGGUUCUCCCUGGUGCACUCGGCGGUUUUCGGGCCAGCAUCGGUUUGGGUGGUGGGAUAAAGGCCUUGGGAAUGUAGCUCCUCUCGGGGAGUGUUAUAGCCCUCGGUGCAAUGCCGCCUACCUAGACCGAGGACCGCGCUCGGCUAGGAUGCU